UACGUAGGGUGCGAGCGUUGUCCGGAAUUAUUGGGCGUAAAGAGCUCGUAGGCGGUGUGUCACGUCGUUCGUGAAAACCUGCAGCUUAACUGUGGGCGUGCGGUCGAUACGGGCAUUCACUGGAGUUCGGCAGGGGAGACUGGAAUUCCAGGUGUAGCGGUGAAAUGCGUAGAUAUCUGGAGGAAUACCGGUGGCGAAGGCGGCAUCUGGACCGACAUUGACGCUGAUGAGCGAAAGCUAGGGGAGCAAACGGG
rnacentral:rRNA from 1 species